ensembl:lncRNA
AGGCUCGUGUGUCCUCACUGCACGCCCUCCUUCAGCGUCUGCAGCCCCAAAGCAUCAUGGGAAGUCUCUCCUGGGACGAGCUGUGGAUACGAGUCGGCGAACGAGCGGAGCAGAUCAACGCAGACCUCCACCAGGCCAAGAACCAGGUGUCCUCCCUGCAGAGCGUCCUCUCUCGCCUGGAGGACAAAGUCAGGAGACGAGAGGCCGACCUGAAACGCCAACACCAGCAGACGGUGUCAGAGCUACAGCGCCAUCUGCAGUCGAGCCGCUCCGAGUGCCGUUCGCUGCAGGAUCACGUGACCUCGCUGACCUCCGACCUCUCGUCUCUCUGCGACCAGUCGGGGAGGUUCCAGUGGGCGUGUCUUCUGCUGGGAGGGGCCCUCGCUCACGCACAGACUCGUCUCCGUCGUCUCUCGGAGCAGAAGACGUUUCUCUGUCGCGGUUUGGCCGAACGAGACGCGCUGGAACAGGAAGUGAGGUCACUGGUGGAGGCUCUGGAGGCCGACGAGGGCGACACGCAGCAGCAGCAGGAGGAGAAGAAGAAGCAGAGAGCGCGGAGGAGGUGGAGGCGGGUCUUAAACGUGGUGACGGUCCUCAGGAAGUGGUGCGUUCUGGGAAAAAGGAGCCGGGUGCUGUUCAGAGCGCAGGUGGACGGGGCCGGAGCGGUGGGCGUGGCGCUGUGUGGAGAGGCUACGGCAAGA